UUCCUUAUGCUGUGCUGCUUUAG
rnacentral:piRNA from 1 species